GAUCCACUCCAAGUCACACACCGAGACCAAGCCCCACAAGUGCCCACAUUGCUCCAAGACCUUCGCCAACAGCUCCUACCUGGCCCAGCACAUCCGUAUCCACUCAGGGGCUAAGCCCUACAGUUGUAACUUCUGUGAGAAAUCCUUCCGCCAGCUCUCCCACCUUCAGCAGCACACCCGGAUCCACUCCAAGAUGCACACGGAGACCAUCAAGCCCCACAAGUGCCCGCACUGCUCCAAGACCUUCGCCAACACCUCCUACCUGGCCCAGCACCUCCGUAUCCACUCGGGGGCCAAGCCCUACAACUGUUCCUACUGCCAGAAGGCCUUCCGCCAGCUCUCCCACCUCCAGCAGCACACACGGUAAGGGAGAGUGGCGGGCUACUGACCCCGCCCCGCUGGCAUGCCCUCCCCACCCCCGCCCCGGACACACACAACAACCCGCAUGCGGGGGGCGGGGGAGAGACCUGGCUGGAGGAGAGACCUGGCUGGCAUCUGGGAGAAGGAAGACCAAACGACAUUGGAGAUUCAAGUGGACACAGAGCUUCUCUGGGGCAAGAGCUACGUCGGGGAGCUGCAGUGACUAUAUGAUAUUCACUGAUCCAUGGGAGACAGACACGUACCUGGAGUGGAAACAACUUUUCUCUAAUUUUCCUCCCUGAAAAUACUCAU
rnacentral:sRNA from 1 species